CAUAUACUUUUAUUCCUCUCGCAUGAGUGAAUCUAGACACAACCACGCCGGCCGGCACAUGGUUCUUCACUGCCCUCGCUUACACCCUUGCGCAUGCGCAUGCCUCUCACGCAAAGCUACUUCCUUCCUCUCCAGUGCUCCAGCCACCCAUACGUACACAUACGUUAACACACUCCCAAUAUUCUAUAUUUGUUAUGAAACUGGAAUACAUAUAUACAUACACAUUUAUAAAAGUUCAACCAAAUUAUUGAUAUUUUUGUUUGUUGUUGUUGUCCUAAAGAAAAACAUUAACAGUCCUGGCAAUUAUAUAGUGACACAGAACAAUAUCAACAGUCCUGGCAAUGAUACAGUGAUCAGAUGCAAUUCAUCAGGAAAACUUCAGAUGUUAACAAAUGUCUGAUUACUUCUUUUUCAGUCACAUAUAUGACAUGCUCCCAGAUCGAAGACACUCAAGGAGCUGAGCGGCACUUGCUCCCUUCUUCGUCAUACAGUCCGACAAUUGUUGAUUUGUAUCCACCCAGUGAACAUUGGAUAUCACAUUCUGCUGCAACAUUUGCUUGAUGCUAGCGAUGUCAACCCGCAAGCGGAGAACUUUGACAUCGUUCAUCUGUCAGCAGAAUGAUAAAUCCACAAGCACUUGAAACUCCAUCAUUCAGAUUGGCAUACGAGGCAUCACAGAAUAACUUGAUUCUCAAAUCUAAACUUUCAAACUUUGGAAAAUAAAGAGGAAAGUUUUCAUAUUUUAA